rnacentral:rRNA from 1 species
ACGAACGCUGGCGGCAUACCUAACACAUGCAAGUCGAACGAGACCUUCGGGUCUAGUGGCGCACGGGUGCGUAACGCGUGGGAACCUGCCCUUAGGUUCGGAAUAACUCCCCGAAAGGGGUGCUAAUACCGGAUAAUGUCUUCGGACCAAAGAUUUAUCGCCUUUGGAUGGGCCCGCGUUGGAUUAGCUAGUUGGUAGGGUAAAAGCCUACCAAGGCGACGAUCCAUAGCUGGUCUGAGAGGAUGAUCAGCCACACUGGGACUGAGACACGGCCCAGACUCCUACGGGAGGCAGCAGUGGGGAAUAUUGGACAAUGGGCGAAAGCCUGAUCCAGCAAUGCCGCGUGAGUGAUGAAGGCCUUAGGGUUGUAAAGCUCUUUUACCCGGGAUGAUAAUGACAGUACCGGGAGAAUAAGCUCCGGCUAACUCCGUG